AUUGAACGCUGGCGGCAGGCCUAACACAUGCAAGUCGAGCGGCAGCGGGAAAGUAGCUUGCUACUUUUGCCGGCGAGCGGCGGACGGGUGAGUAAUGCCUGGGAAAUUGCCCAGUCGAGGGGGAUAACAGUUGGAAACGACUGCUAAUACCGCAUGCGCCCUACGGGGGAAAGCAGGGGACCUUCGGGCCUUGCGCGAUUGGAUAUGCCCAGGUGGGAUUAGCUAGUUGGUGAGGUAAUGGCUCACCAAGGCGACGAUCCCUAGCUGGUCUGAGAGGAUGAUCAGCCACACUGGAACUGAGACACGGUCCAGACUCCUACGGGAGGCAGCAGUGGGGAAUAUUGCACCAUGGGGGAAACCCUGAUGCAGCCAUGCCGCGUGUGUGAAGAAGGCCUUCGGGUUGUAAAGCACUUUCAGCGAGGAGGAAAGGUCAGUAGCUAAUAUCUGCUGGCUGUGACGUUACUCGCAGAAGAAGCACCGGCUAACUCCGUGCCAGCCGCCGCCAGUAAAAC
rnacentral:rRNA from 1 species